UACGUAGGUGGCAAGCGUUGUCCGGAUUUACUGGGCGUAAAGAGCGCGCAGGCGGUCGGAUCAGUCGAAUGUGAAAGCCCCUGGCUCAACUAGGGAGAGUCAUUCGAUACUGUUCGACUCGAAGGCAGGAGAGGGAAGUGGAAUUCCGGGUGUAGUGGUGAAAUGCGUAGAUAUCCGGAGGAACACCAGUGGCGAAGGCGACUUUCUGGCCUGUUCUUGACGCUGAGGCGCGAAAGCUAGGGGAGCAAACGGG
rnacentral:rRNA from 1 species